UACGUAGGGGGCAAGCGUUGUCCGGAAUCAUUGGGCGUAAAGCGCGCGUAGGCGGCCCGGUAAGUCCGCUGUAAAAGCCCAGGGCUCAACCCUGGAAAGCCGGUGGAUACUGUCGGGCUAGAGUCCGGAAGAGGCGAGUGGAAUUCCUGGUGUAGCGGUGAAAUGCGCAGAUAUCAGGAGGAACACCGGUGGCGAAGGCGGGUCUCUGGGCAGUAACUGACGCUGAGGGGCGAAAGCGUGGGGAGCGAACAGG
rnacentral:rRNA from 1 species